rnacentral:rRNA from 1 species
CGGACUGAGUAAAGCGGCGGACGGGUGAGUAACGCGUAGGAAUCUACCCAGUGGUGGGGGACAACUUGGGGAAACCCAAGCUAAUACCGCAUACGCCCUACGGGGGAAAGCGGGGGACCUUCGGGCCUCGCGCCAUUGGAUGAGCCUGCGUCGGAUUAGCUAGUUGGUAGGGUAAAGGCCUACCAAGGCGACGAUCCGUAGCUGGUCUGAGAGGACGAUCAGCCACACUGGGACUGAGACACGGCCCAG